AUUGAACGCUGGCGGCAUGCCUUACACAUGCAAGUCGAACGGUAACAGGUCUUUGGAUGCUGACGAGUGGCGAACGGGUGAGUAAUGUAUCGGAACGUGCCCAGUCGUGGGGGAUAACUACUCGAAAGAGUGGCUAAUACCGCAUACGACCUGAGGGUGAAAGCGGGGGACCGUAAGGCCUCGCGCGAUUGGAGCGGCCGAUAUCCGAUUAGGUAGUUGGUGGGGUAAAGGCCCCCCAAGCCGACGAUCUGUAGCUGGUCUGAGAGGACGACCAUCCACACUGGGACUGAGCGACGGCCCAGACUCCUACGGGAGGCAGCAGAGGGGAAUGUUGGACGAUGGGCGCAAGCCUGAUCCAGCCAUGCCGCGUGCGGGAAGAAGGCCUUCGGGUUGUAAACCGCUUUUGUCAGGGAAGAAACGGAUUUCUCUAAUACAGAGAUCUAAUGACGGUACCUGAAGAAUAAGCACCGGCUAACUACGUGCCAGCCGCCGCAGUAAAAC
rnacentral:rRNA from 1 species